rnacentral:lncRNA from 1 species
CUUGGAUUUUCCGAACUAUCUCAGUUCUUGAUUCCACAUUGCUAUUGUGUGGAUCAAAUGAUCCCUGGCUACAAAAAUACGCUGGGGAGUGACUCCCCUGGCGUCCAGGUUAUGAGUGUGGUCAGUCAUUCCACAUGCCUUGGGGAUGAGCUAUCUUUACCAUGAUGAGAGAUUUCCUUUUCAAGUUCAGUAGUCCCCAAAUACGCAUACUAGCAUCCAGAAAAGUCAAAGUAAUUAAGGAAACGUAUAUUGCAAGCUUAUUCAAGAUAGCACUGCAAUUAGGCUCGUGUCUCUUUGCUGUAUUUUUUUUAUAAAUAAAAAUCAUUACCGUCCUAGAACAAAGAAGAAAUUUUACAACCUACUCUUAGAGUUAUAGAUAUCCGCCACACUGACUUCUUCAAUGUAAACCAUACACAGACGUUUAAGAAUUUCUCUCUGUCAUGUGUGCAUUGGGUAUGUGUGCCAGUUCCAUUCUCCUUUCGCAUGGGUCAUCAUUUUAUAAAACAACUUGGAAAGGGAAGAGGAAUAAAAAAAAAAAAAAGCAAUUCUGGAAGCCUUUCCUCUUCCCUUUCUUCUGAUCUUUCAUUAGGUCUUGGAGGAGGAGGCCCUGCUUUAUGUGUGUGGCCUCCCAACCCUCUAGAAUGUCCUGACUUUUGGUGAGCAGAGGUGCAGCCCCCACCGCGAGGGCCAGAUCAGACCCGGGCUGCUGCUCCAGGGUACCCUGGGGUGCACCCCGCUCCCGGGGCCCCGCGGCCCGCAGACCCAAGGGACCCGCUGGGUCGGGACCUGCUGCUGGCGCGGUACCAAGGACAGGGCGUCACUGUCCAUCUCUCUAAGCUACCGUAACCGGAUCGCUGGCGCGGAAUCCAGUCCCCGGAGCGCCCGGGACCGCGGGCAGACAAGCAAGCAGCCUGCGCUGGAAGCAAACCUCGAGGCGAGGCUGCAACGCCGCCCGGCUGCAGAGCUGAGCUGCCGCCCGGGUCUCCUGCAGGAACAGCCCCGAAAGGCCUGGAAGAGGGAAGGAGGGAGGGAGGAGGGAGGGAGGGAGGAUGGGGCCAGAGUCGCCCGCACUUGU